UAGUUUCCUGCCAUGACUUACUGCCACAGU
rnacentral:piRNA from 1 species